CGGGGAGAUAUAAUGCUAUGAUAAUAUGAAUAUGAAUGUGUGUUGUAUUGUUAUCAGAAAAAAAUAAUACUUCGAGCAUGACGGUUCUCGGAAGUUUGGAGUUCAAAGGGCAAUAAUACAAUAUACAACUCAACACCGGUAUCACAAUGCUCAACUCAAACAACAACAGAGUGAACCGAGAAGGAAAUAUUGUAAUUUAACACAAAGGAUAAUGGUGCAUGCAGUGAAAGUCUCCCGUCUCCUCCACGGUUGAGUCCUAACCCUUGCAAGUUGCAAGUGGUAAUACUCCCAUGCAGUCUUCAAAGUAUCAAUUGCCUUUAUAAUCCCACAUCCAACCUUGAUUAUGUCACUACCCUAUAGUUUAUCAUCUGAACUGCAAAUCCAAGAUGCAAGUGACAUGGUGUAUCAGAUAAUACAAAGGUUAUAGAAAAAAAAUAAUAGCUCAAAUCCUUUUGAGCGCUAAAGGCAAGAGAACCUACAACUGAACCAUAAAUCAAAAUUUGGACAUAAGAGAUGGUAGCAAAAAUCCUGAAUAUGCCAGAGAUGCUGUGCAACAAGAUUCUAAUUUUAUUAUGAAAAUGGUGAAUAGUACGAAAUGCAGUAAAUGCUGGAGACAAGCAGCUAACCCCUACUGCUAUUGCCGGAUCUGUUGAUAGUUGGUUACUGAAAUUCAGAGAAAGCGAAAGCUUACUAUAGCAUGUCCAACAACGGUCGGAUGCACCUGGAAACCUCCCCCAUUAGACAUGCUGAAAAUCAACGUAGAUGGUGCUUUUGCCCAAGCUAACAGAAAGGGGGCUAGGGCUUCAUAUAAUGUUAUGAUCAUACAAGUGAUGGUGUUCUAGCAGGUGCAGGCAAUGUAUCGGCUCAUCAAGGCAAGGACUUAGUAUUGGUUCAUCACACAGUUUUGCAGUGAAGUGAGUCACUGCUUCUAAUAGCUUGUCAUGCUCUAAUCUGAAUUUUCUCUCUAAGCAAAUGUUUUUCUCUGAAACUUAUCUCAAAACAAAGGUCUGAAGAUCCAAUUUUCUCCCUAGAAUCUAAAUAACGUCCAUUCACAUUCUUUCAUAACUAUAUUAGGACUUGUUGUUUAUCUGAUGAAACUAAAAAUUCUGAACAUUGUCCAGUAACCCAAAACAAUGGAUCAAUUUCAGUACAUGUAGUUUAUCUGCUAAUUAAUUCAACAAUUCAAUAUGAGAUGAGAUCCGUCAUGCUGGAGCUUGGUGUAGUGUAGUGUAGGCAGAGAGAUAGAUUCAUAUGAGAUGAGAUCGAUAAGUACUCCAAGUUCAAGAUAGGAUGAUUAUUAGUCAGUAUACAUACCACAGGCUCAUAGCUUAAACGCAGGCGCACCAACCUUUCGAUGUGAGGGCGAGGCUCCAGCUGCAGUUGCAGCUUCAGGUUCAGGUUCAGGUUCAGGUAGGGAGAAACCCAUGGCAGCGGCAGCUGCGCGCACCGGCACCAGCCUUUCCACAGCUUUCCUUUCUUUUCGGCUGUUGCUGCCACCGUGGAGGGUCCACCUCCCGUUACUUUCUCCUCCCUCCCAUUCAUUAUUACCAACCAACUAACCCAUCACCCAUCAUGAGGAUUGACGAUUGAGGAAGAGGAAACAUCUCGCACAGCACAGCACAGCACAACAGUAGAAUACGGCAAAUCUGCAUCUCCGGCUCCAAGCUUGUGUUUCUCCUGCUGCUUUGCGCCAUGGUGCUGCCGACAGGCAUAUCCUCUGCAAAGAUCCAUGGUAAAAUCAAUCAAUAUCGAAUCUCAGAGUCCUACUUGGUUGUGCUCAAAUUGAUUUGCCAGCGCUUGUGCUUUGUGCUUGCUCAAAUUGAUGGCGAUGGCGGUCGUGGCAAGGAACCCAACCAACAACCUUGUGGCCCUCAUCAACGGCAGGAGGGCGGUGAGCAAGCUGCCUGCGCUGUGCAACAGCAGGGGCCUCGGGUGCAUGACGCUGCAGUACAUCUCCGAGUGCAUGUCCACGGGCCCGCC
rnacentral:lncRNA from 1 species